GGUCCAGCAGGUUUGUGAUCGGACCUACAAAUUCCAGGCCGGCGGGACGUGCCUGGGAGCCCUCCCUGGGUCUCGGGGAGGAAUGACCCCACUUCUCUGUGAUUCCACCUUCCCUGAAGCUUAGAGACACUCCCACGAAGGAAACUGGGCAAGGUGUGGAGGUGGAAGCAGGCAAAUGUGGGGCCCAGAAGUCCAGGAAGACAUCUUUCAGGGGAGACAUGAAGAGCUGGGUCAGGAGAAUGAGGCCGGAGAACUGACCGCAUGGAGGUCACUGGCGCCCCUGAGUAGAUGGGAUGAACGUGUGAAUAUAACCACAUGCAAAGAGGCAAAGGACAGGGGCAGAUUACAGGGUGCUACGUCCCAGGCUGCCGUCCUCAAUGUCAAUCCCCCGUGUUCACUGUUCUCUUCCAAAACACUCUACCUGUGCAGACCCAGGCUGAUCCUGGCACUGAGCGGCCUUCUUCAGCCCAGGUGAUAGGCUAACCACUGGUGGGGGUGGGGGCGAGCAGGAGGGGCUGCGGCAGAGAGCCCUGCCAUUGCCUGUCGGAUUCCCUCUCUGAACUUUGCAGAGAUAGGCAAGGGGAGGUUAUGAGGGAGGAGGGUCAUGCUGGACCCCGAGCAGGUGAAGUUUCAAAGCAGGCAGAACGUGUGAGCAGGGAGCAGAAUGUAUGGCAGAGAAGAUGGCAUGCAGACCAGAGCGCUGUGGCUGCCUGGUAGCAGGAGAAGUGAGACAUCCCCCCAAGUGGAAGAAGAGGUGGCGAAUGUGGCUGUCACCUCACCGUGGGCACCACAAGGCAUCGCCCUGUUCUGGAACCUUCCACCAGUCCCAGUGCCCCCAUCUCUGAGCCCUGCCCUCCCAUCUCCCCGAGGCUGCUCUUCCCCCAUCGCUGUGAAGGUCUGCACGUGAAGCCCCCUACCUGAGCUCACGAAAGGCGCCUUCCGAAGACAAAGGGCUGUUUUACGCCGGAGCCGCGCUGAGCUCGCGUGAUGUUCCGCUCGGCGGCCACUGGGUGGUGCUCGAGGAGCCGGGAUGGCGGGUGAGGCUCCGGCGUCCUGCUGGGUCGGGUCCGGAGCCGGCACUUCAGUCACAGAGGCAAUGCUCAGAGGUGACCCCCCGAGGCAAGGAGAGUGGGGCCAACCCCCUUCCCAAAGCCGCUUUCAGUGUGGACAGUCGCGGUUUUCUCCCUCGUAUAUAACGAAUCAAAGCAUAUUUAGAAAAGAUUUUUUUCUUGGAAAAUGCUAUUUUUAUUGUUCUGUGAAAGGCCAUCUACAUCAGAGUGUGCAAACCCAGCGUCAAGGCCACCCCCCCCCCCCCGGUCCCCCGCCAGCUCGCAACCCCGCAGCCCCGCCUACAGGGAAAGAGCCCAGUGGAAUGUGCGCCCUUCCUCCUUGGUUCGGCCCUCGUGCCCCUAACGUCUCCUCGUUGCUCAGGGACCCUGCCGAUGGGCUUCCUGUGUUUCAAAUCCGGGAACUACCCUCCUCCUACCUCCCCAGGGAGCAGCCAGACCUUAGCCAGGCCUCAUCCUAUCCCUGGGCUGCUCUCUUGAAUAAAUUUGCUUAGCAACUUCCAUCUUUAAAACCAAACUACCCAAGAAACAAGGGGUCCCUCCUGGCCCUUCACUGCCCCUCUACUAUAUAUUGCCCAUCGCUUGCCUUCCCUUCCCAACAAACGGGUGGACUUGUCUCUGAGCACGGCCUCGUCUUCCUCCUUCCUAUUUACUCAAAUCCACCCUGGCUUGGUUUCUGUCCCUCUUGCUCCACUGAAACGGACUUUGCCCAAAUCCCAACUCCAGGAGAUGCUUUUGUCUUUUUUCUGUUUUAUUUGAUACUGAUCAUCUCUGCCUCCUUCCUGAGCUCGGUCCCCCCUUCAGCUCCUAAGAGUCCCCUCCCUUCGGCUUCCUCCCAGGCCCUGCCCCGGGCCCCACCCUCCAAGGCCCCACCCCUCUGGGGCUCCACCCUCAAGCUCUGCCUCCCCGCCCCCACUGGGAUCCACUUGCAGAGAGCGUUGUGCUAGCUGUGGCAGCGGGUCCACAAAAGGCCCCUCUACAGCGUGGGGGGGAGGGUGAAGGCUUGGGCCUGGGCGACAAGGUGACGAGUUCUCCAUCCCCAUUUAUUUUCACUAAGUUAGAGGGACGUUGGCCAAGGACCUAGCCAGGCGUUUUUCCUUUGAGGUUGGUGACGAGGAAGUGAGGUGUUGUGCCAACGAAGGUGACGUCCGAGCCGCAGAUCGUCAACAGAAGCCACUAGUUUACCCCACAAAAGAUGCCAGGUAACUGCGGGGAGGAACGACCGUCUCACUCCAGACCCAGAGCAGUUUUGAGCCUGUGACCUUGAAUGACACUGCACCUCCCACAGCGCUUCGCUAAAGGGGAGAGUGAUCGCAGUCAGUGGAGUGGAUCCUUUCAAUUAUAAAGGUGGUGAAAGACAGAAGUAUCCGAAGUUCAAGGCCUGUGGGCUGGGCGUGGUUCAGGGCCAGGAACUGCAGCGGCCUUUUCUCACCAAUUAGGCACAUUUUGCUGUACAGUCCUCUUCCCUUUGCAAGCAUUGAAUUCGUUUCCCUUUCACUCAGAAUGGCCUUCUCCAGGAAGAAUUAUAAAGUGCAGCGAAUAAGGUGAACAUUCAUCUUAAAGGAGUUUCCACCCAAGGGGACAAGAGAGUCCAGGGGUGUUACCAGAAGUCAGCUUAUGAUCCAGGAAUUAUUCCUCUGGGAGUCCCUUCCAUCUGCAUCAAACUCCUGGAUGAGCUUGUGGAAAGUCUACCGGGGCUGAAGCCCCGGCCUCUCCAAGACAGCUCAGCCGGGGAGGACUGGGGGAUUUCAUGCGAUUUUGAGCUGGACCCUGAAGAAUGGAUAAGAUUUAGAUCAUCAAAGAAGAAGGAAAGAGGAGCCUGUCCAAGAGAAGUGGGGCAGGAAGCAGAAAAGAAAGGAGAAGGUGGAAACUAGGCUGCCUGUGGCCAUAAAGGGCCACAUACUCCAAUGUCCCAUGGACCCGGGUUCAUUUUCUGGUCCCAUUUUCUAGAACCUUUGGCAAGACCUUCUUUAAGUCUCAGUGUUAAUAUCUAAAAAGUUGGGAUUAGCCAAUACGAACUACUGUACAUAGAAUAGAUAAACAAAAUGGUCCUACUGCAGAGCACACGGAGCUCUAGUCAAUAGCUUGUGAUAACCUGUAAUGAAAAAGAAUAUACAUACGUAUAACUGACUCAUUCUGCUGUACACCAGAAACUAAUACAACAUUGGAAAUUAGCUAGACUUCUAUAAAAAAAAAAGUGGAGAUUCCAAUAACUACCUCAAUAGAGCUGUUGUGAAAAUUAGGUGAGAUAAUGGAUACAUGGCUGUGGUUUGAGGAGGCAGAGUUAGGAUCCUAUAGACUCAGUAGUCGUGGGAGUGGACGUGUGCCUAGGGAGGCAGGAGCUGGUCUGGUGUGCGCUGGGGAGGAGAGAUCAGUGUAAAAGGUAGUGGGGUGUGAUUGUGAAGUUACGCAGAGCACUGGUGCUAGAAGACUGGAUGCACCACUUCCCAACAGAGUAAUCAGAACCCCAGAGAAGGAAGUAAUGUAUCAGAUGAACGCCGUGUUCAUAAUCCUAUCUGAAUAUCUGACCUUCUCAAAAAUACAAGAUCUCUGAGGGCAGAGGCUGUGACUGACACAUCUUUGCAAAGCCCUGCAAACCCCCAGCACGUCAUAUGGGGGCUCAGUUACUACUUUUUGAAUAUCUUGGGGGAGGGGUAUGUAGCUCAGUGGUAGAGCACAUGCUUAGCAGGCACAAAGUCCGGGGCUCAAACCCCAGUAAUUUCAUU